GGGAUUGCCCUAGUAACGGCGAGUGAAGCGGCAACAGCUCAAAUUUGAAAUCUGGCCCUUGCGGUCCGAAUUGUAAUUUGUAGAGGAUGCUUUUGGUGCGGUGCCUUCUGAGUUCCCUGGAACGGGACGCCAGAGAGGGUGAGAGCCCCGUACGGUUGGACACCUAGCCUAUAUAUAGCUCCUUCGACGAGUCGAGUAGUUUGGGAAUGCUGCUCUAAAUGGGAGGUAAAUUUCUUCUAAAGCUAAAUACCGGCCAGAGACCGAUAGCGCACAAGUAGAGUGAUCGAAAGAUGAAAAGCACUUUGAAAAGAGGGUUAAAUAGCACGUGAAAUUGUUGAAAGGGAAGCGUUUGCGACCAGACUUUUUCCAGGCGGAUCAUCCGGUGUUCUCACCGGUGCACUUCGUCUGGUUUAGGCCAGCAUCGGUUUUCUUAGGGGGAUAAAGGCUUGGGGAACGUAGCUCUUUCGGGAGUGUUAUAGCCCCUUGCGUAAUACCCCUCGGGGGACCGAGGAACGCGCUCUGCAAGGAUGCUGGCGUAAUGGUCGUCAACGACCCGUCUUGAAACACGGACCAAGGAGUCGAACAUUUGUGCGAGUGUUUGGGUGUUAAACCCUCACGCGUAAUGAAAGUGAACGGAGGUGAGAGCCUUAGGGUGCAUCAUCGACCGAUCCUGAUGUCUUCGGAUGGAUUUGAGUAAGAGCAUAACUGUUCGGACCCGAAAGAUGGUGAACUAUGCGUGGAUAGGGUGAAGCCAGAGGAAACUCUGGUGGAGGCUCGCAGCGGUUCUGACGUGCAAAUCGAUCGUCAAAUCUGCGCAUGGGGGCGAAAGACUUAUCGAACCAUUAAAAACCAGCGGUAAAUUUGAUUUACUAGGUGGUUAAGAGGGGCCCCGCGAGGGGUACUACCCUAGAGUCUGGGAGGACCUACCCUAUA
rnacentral:rRNA from 1 species